ACUGCUGGACAUUUUUUUCCUCCCUCUUCCCUCUCUUUCCCACAGAGUGAUAGUUGCCUUAGCAACCGUGGCAAAUCUUCCUUUUCUCAAACAGAUGUCCCAUUUAGUUGGAAAUUAGAAUGUGUAAAAACCCAGGAGACUCAAAUUAUUUCCAAGUUCUCCGGGAGGAGGGAGACGGAGAAGAAAAGAGGAGCGCAGAAAAGAAAGGAGUGGCGAGGGAUGGAGAGAAAAAGAGGAAAAGGGAGGGAGAGGGUUACAUAUCCUCCUCCUCAGGAAGUGUGAAAGUGUGUUGAUUAGCCAUCGCUGUGGGGCAGCUAAUUCUGACGCCCGACCAACACUGAAGAGGCAGCAGACGGAAAAAGACACAAGAAAGGGAGGACAAGAUGAAUACAGGAUGGGUAAACAGAUUCAGCGUUUAUGAGAAUGUAAAGAAAUUCCCCAGAGCCGUGCGUGCUCACAUAUGUGCGAAGACACAAGCCCGGUGUGAGCGAGGAGUUUUCGCCUUGGAGACCAAUUUACAGACAGAAUGAUUGACGCAUAGAUAACAGGCUGAAAAGACUGGCGGGUUGGAAUAUCUGGCCCUUGAUUCGUGUCGACGUUCCCCAUGCAAUGCUUUCAACUCUAUGGAGCAUUAAGCUACAGCUUACCUAUUGGAGCAAUGCCAUUUUUUAACGUUUUGC